CAGGGAGACAACAAAAUGUUUUGAUAUAAAUUUUGUCACCCUAGGUCGAUCGGUAUCUCAGAUUUUCAAAAUUGGAAAUUUCAGUUUCUAAGUUUUUUUCUAGGUCACCCAUUUUUCCUGGGGCCAUUAGCUCAGGUGGUUAGAGCGCACCCCUGAUAAGGGUGAGGUCCCUGGUUCAAGUCCAGGAUGGCCCAUAUCUCUAUUAUUGGGGGUAUAGCUCAGUUGGUAGAGCGCCUGCUUUGCAAGCAGGAUGUCAGCGGUUCGAGUCCGCUUACCUCCACUGAAUACCACCUUUCCAAAGAGAAGGAAAAUCUGGGAUCUAUUUCAUUCUGAAUGAAUCUAGCUUCCUAUUAUUUAAUUUAAUUAAUAAGAUGCUGGACUCAAUGAAUUUUUAAAUUCUUUGUUUUCAGAGAACCUUGACAACUGCAUAGAUUUUUUUCAAGACAAUAAGCAUCUUUUAAGGUGCAGAUUUAUUAUUGGUGCUUAUGCAUUAAUAACAAUUCUAUUGAGCUGAUGCUUCAAUUUUUCGAAGUUAUU
rnacentral:tRNA from 1 species